AACGAACGCUGGCGGCAGGCUUAACACAUGCAAGUCGAGCGCCCCGCAAGGGGAGCGGCAGACGGGUGAGUAACACGUGGGAACGUACCCUUUACUACGGAAUAGCUCCGGGAAACUGGAAUUAAUACCGUAUGUGCCCUUUGGGGGAAAGAUUUAUCGGUAAAGGAUCGGCCCGCGUUGGAUUAGCUAGUUGGUGGGGUAAAGGCCUACCAAGGCGACGAUCCAUAGCUGGUCUGAGAGGAUGAUCAGCCACAUUGGGACUGAGACACGGCCCAAACUCCUACGGGAGGCAGCAGUGGGGAAUAUUGGACAAUGGGCGCAAGCCUGAUCCAGCCAUGCCGCGUGAGUGAUGAAGGCCCUAGGGUUGUAAAGCUCUUUCACCGGUGAAGAUAAUGACGGUAACCGGAGAAGAAGCCCCGGCUAACUCCGUGCCAGCAGCCGCCGUAA
rnacentral:rRNA from 1 species